CAGGACGAACGCUGGCGGCGUGCUUAACACAUGCAAGUCGAACGAUGACGAUGGUGCUUGCACCGUCUGAUUAGUGGCGAACGGGUGAGUAACACGUGAGUAACCUGCCCUCCUCUUCGGGAUAACCGCCGGAAACGGUGGCUAAUACCGGAUAUGAAUGCCUGCCGCAUGGUGGGUGUUGGAAAGAUUUAUCGGUGGGGGAUGGACUCGCGGCCUAUCAGUUUGUUGGUGAGGUAAUGGCUCACCAAGGCGAUGACGGGUAGCCGGCCUGAGAGGGCGACCGGCCACACUGGGACUGAGACACGGCCCAGACUCCUACGGGAGGCAGCAGUGGGGAAUAUUGCACAAUGGGCGAAAGCCUGAUGCAAGCGACGCCGCGUGGGGGAUGACGGCCUUCGGCUUGUAAACCUCUUUCAGUAGGGAAGAAGCGAGAGUGACGGUACCUGCAGAAGAAGCGCCGGCUAACUACGUGCCAGCAGCAGC
rnacentral:rRNA from 1 species